rnacentral:lncRNA from 1 species
GUAACUAAGGUAAGAACUAACAAGUCAUAUAAUUAAUUUUACAGACUUAAAUAAUAAUUAUUAACAAAUCAGUGACAAUCCAGAAUUCCAAUGACAUCACCUUCCCUGCGCUGACAAUCGCAAUACGAAGAAGAUGAAGCAUUGAGAGACAUCGAUGGAACCUUAUUCCGAUGGCAGUGAUAAUUAAACAUCGGAACCUUACUGCUAUUCUUCUUCAUCAACUCUUCUGGGCAACCGAACUUACGAUUCAGUUCGGUCCAACGCCGGAUGU